rnacentral:tRNA from 1 species
UGUGCUGUGGCUUAGUUAGUUAAAGCGCCGGAGUAGCAAACAAGGAGUCGUGGGUUCUAAUCCCACCAGAACGC